CUAUUAUGGAGAGUUUGAUCCUGGCUCAGGACGAACGCUGGCGGCAUGCCUAAUACAUGCAAGUCGAGCGAAUGACGAAGAAGCUUGCUUCUUCUGAUUUAGCGGCGGACGGGUGAGUAACACGUGGGCAACCUGCCCUGUAGAUUGGGAUAACUCCGGGAAACCGGGGCUAAUACCGAAUAAUCCAUUUCCUCACAUGGG
rnacentral:rRNA from 1 species